rnacentral:SRP_RNA from 1 species
CCUUAGGGUUUACGAUAUAUUGUGUUCGAACCGUGUCAGGUCUGGAAGGAAGCAGCACUAAGAAGAUAAUGUAUGCGUUUUCCCCUAAGGGCA